GUAGUCCACGCCGUAAACGGUGGGUACUAGGUGUGGGUUUCCUUCCUUGGGAUCCGUGCCGUAGCUAACGCAUUAAGUACCCCGCCUGGGGAGUACGGCCGCAAGGCUAAAACUCAAAGAAAUUGACGGGGGCCCGUACAAGCGGCGGAGCAUGUGGAUUAAUUCGAUGCAACGCGAAGAACCUUACCUGGGUUUGACAUGCACAGGACGCUGGUAGAGAUAUCAGUUCCCUUGUGGCCUGUGUGCAGGUGGUGCAUGGCUGUCGUCAGCUCGUGUCGUGAGAUGUUGGGUUAAGUCCCGCAACGAGCGCAACCCUUGUCCUAUGUUGCCAGCGGGUUAUGCCGGGGACUCGUAGGAGACUGCCGGGGUCAACUCGGAGGAAGGUGGGGAUGACGUCAAGUCAUCAUGCCCCUUAUGUCCAGGGCUUCACACAUGCUACAAUGGCCGGUACAAAGGGCUGCGAUGCCGUGAGGUGGAGCGAAUCCUUGUAAAGCCGGUCUCAGUUCGGAUCGGGGUCUGCAACUCGACCCCGUGAAGUCGGAGUCGCUAGUAAUCGCAGAUCAGCAACGCUGCGGUGAAUA
rnacentral:rRNA from 1 species